rnacentral:rRNA from 1 species
UAGGGAAUCUUCGGCAAUGGGGGCAACCCUGACCGAGCAACGCCGCGUGAGUGAAGAAGGUUUUCGGAUCGUAAAGCUCUGUUGUAAGUCAAGAACGGGUGUGAGAGUGGAAAGUUCACACUGUGACGGUAGCUUACCAGAAAGGGACGGCUAACUACGUGCCAGCAGCCGCGGUAAUACGUAGGUCCCGAGCGUUGUCCGGAUUUAUUGGGCGUAAAGCGAGCGCAGGCGGUUUGAUAAGUCUGAAGUUAAAGGCUGUGGCUCAACCAUAGUUCGCUUUGGAAACUGUCAAACUUGAGUGCAGAAGGGGAGAGUGGAAUUCCAUGUGUAGCGGUGAAAUGCGUAGAUAUAUGGAGGAACACCGGUGGCGAAAGCGGCUCUCUGGUCUGUAACUGACGCUGAGGCUCGAAAGCGUGGGGAGCGAACAGGAUUAGAUACCCUGGUAGUCCACGCCGUAAACGAUGAGUGCUAGGUGUUGGAUCCUUUCCGGGAUUCAGUGCCGAAGCUAACGCAUUAAGCACUCCCGCCUGG